rnacentral:tRNA from 1 species
AGGGAUUUAGGAUAGAGCUAGACCAGAGGCCUUCAAAGCCCCCAGCAAGGGUUAAAACCCCUUAAUCCCUG